rnacentral:rRNA from 1 species
UACGAAGGGUGCAAACGUUGCUCGGAAUUAUUGGGCGUAAAGCGCGCGCAGGUGGUUCUUUAAGUCUGAUGUGAAAUCUCGCGGCUCAACCGCGAGCGGUCAUUGGAAACUGGGGAACUUGAGUGCAGAAGAGGAAAGUGGAAUUCCACGUGUAGCGGUGAAAUGCGUAGAGAUGUGGAGGAACACCAGUGGCGAAGGCGACUUUCUGGUCUGUAACUGACACUGAGGCGCGAAAGCGUGGGGGAGCGAACAGG